ACAAUUGCCACUCUACGGCACCCCAUCGGCAGAUCAAUCAGCCUGACCCUACAACAGGCUGAUUUUGCGGAUGUUGACAAGCUGUGUGACAAAUGGCAGCAUCAACAAUAAGAUCUGAAAUACUACGGCAUGAGUGACCGUCACAAGGCUGCUGUAGAAUGGACGAGGUGUGUGUGGGGUGGGGGGUGGAGCUCUCUGGGAGGCUUCACAGCAUCAUUGCCUCAAAUCUAUGCUAAUGAGCAUACCUGUGGAUGGCUAGGCGGUUUUUGGAUCCAAGUUGACCAGGGAUGAAGGGAUGACCAGGACCAGGCCGGGUUCUGGUGGGGAAGAGUGGGCACGGGUGGAGUCAAGCUGGCCAGCCAGCCACCCCCCCCACCCCCCAGAGAAAAGAUGAGUAAACUGACACACACGCUCUCAUAUGUUCUGUAAAAGAAACUUUUUCUUUCUUUCAUUUUUUAUUGUAUGAAUAAGUAAAAGACACGUGAAAAAAAAAAGAAACAAGACCAUAUAGCUGAUCUGAAAAUAUGAACUUUGACAAAGUAAAUGUUGAACAAAAUAUCUGGCAUUAUUUUAAAGAAUGUUUGAUAACAAGUGUGAAAGCUUUUCUAUAAUCCUUUUUGUUUCUGUGUUUUUAUUUCUAUGUAGGUUUUGGACUCUGCUCUCUGGCCUGCGUCUGCCACUCCCCAACCUGGCCCGUCCACCAACUUUGAAGAGGAGGGGGUCCAGGGAACCUGGUUCGGUGUGGGGUGUGCAGUGCAGCUGGCUAGUCAGCACCAACAUGCGCAGCUCCUCCACAUCACUCUUCUCGUCAUCUUCUUGCUUUGGUGCGCCGCAUGUGACCCAAAUAGUGCUAUAUUAUUUCAUUUAGUUUCAAAACGACUAAUCCAUGAUAGUCAUACAUUUGAACAAAUAACUUUAACCAGUUCUGAACCGGACCGGACCACACUCCAUCACCCCUACUUAUUUCCCCGUCACUCUGGCUCUGGUGUGUGUGUUUGAAGUGUGCCGGGCGGGAGCGACGACCACGAAAUGAGGGAGUGGAAGGGAUAUAGAAAAAAACCCUAUUUAUGUACUCCUAGUUUGUCAGCCAUCCCUAUUGUGUGUCGUCAUUCUCAUCAUCCCUUAAACCGCCAUUCAGGUCCUUUUAGUUUAACCCGGCCUCAUCCUCCUCUUGGCUUCGACCUCUUUUUGGGGAAUUAAAUCUCCUACCCCUAACUUAAAGCAUCUCGUAUGAGAUUAUGGCUUCACUCAGCACUCUCGUCCUCUGCCGGGGUCCGAGCGCCAAACUCUAAUGCCAUUUAUGUCAUAACGAUGUUGGUCCGGUCAUGUCAAUAAAUCUCCUAAAUUUCA